UACGUAGGGUCCGAGCGUUGUCCGGAAUUAUUGGGCGUAAAGAGCUUGUAGGCGGUUUGUCGCGUCUGCUGUGAAAAUCCGGGGCUCAACCCCGGACUUGCAGUGGGUACGGGCAGACUAGAGUGUGGUAGGGGGGACUGGAAUUCCUGGUGUAGCGGUGAAAUGCGCAGAUAUCAGGAGGAACACCGAUGGCGAAGGCAGGUCUCUGGGCCACUACUGACGCUGAGAAGCGAAAGCAUGGGGAGCGAACAGG
rnacentral:rRNA from 1 species